CGCCGUCCGGUUUCCACCACGCCGUUUCACUGCCGCAGCUGCGGCUCCGGGGCUGCCGAGCUGGCGUGGUUGGGUUGAGGAUGCUGUGGCUGUGGAGUCCGCUGGGCGGGGUUCGCGUCAUUGCGAACGAUUGUCUGGAGCGCGGGGAGAAAAGGAAGAGGGCGGUGACUGGAAGGGGCUGCUUCCAGAUUUCAGUUCAAUGCAUCAAGUGCUGAGGAUCCUCUGUGUUCCAGCCACCAUGAAGCCAGCACUCCACACCCAAACACUGCUUGUGGCACGGAGCUCAAAACAACAGGCUGGAACUUGAUGCCAGGGAAGUAAACACGGUUUGUUCAUUUGUA